GUUGAAGAACGUAGCGAAAUGCGAUAAGUAAUGUGAAUUGCAGAAUUCAGUGAAUCAUCGAAUCUUUGAACGCACAUUGCGCCCCUUGGUAUUCCGAGGGGCAUGCCUGUUCGAGCGUCAUUAUAACCCCUCAAGCUCAGCUUGGUGUUGGGGCCUGCUGCACUGGCAGCCCUUAAAAUCAGUGGCGGCGCCGUCUGGCUCUAAGCGUAGUAAUUCUUCUCGCUAUGGAGUCCUGGUGGAUGCUUGCCAUCAACCCCCAAUUUUUCUAUGGUUGACCUCGGAUCAGGUAGGGAUACCCGCUGAACUUAAGCAUAUCAAUAAGCGGAGGA
rnacentral:misc_RNA from 1 species